UUUUUUAUGGCUGAGUAAUAGUCCUUUGUAUAUACAUAGUACAUCUUCUUUAUUUGUUCAUCUAUCGAUGGACGCCUGGGUUGCUUCCACAUGUGGGCUACUGUGAAUAAUGCUGCCAUAAACAUCGGCGCGGAUAUACCUUUUCAGCGAGGCUUCCAGAAGCACGCCUGACGGACAGAUUGCUGUUGGAGCUUCCGGAACAGGCUGAACUAGAACCUCCUGUUCACAACAGUGUGGUUUUGUCCCCCUUUGCUUUUUCUCAGAGACUGACCUCCCGAGUUCGAUCUGUCUCUGGGCUUACACGGCCUUGUAGUCGGUGCCCUCAAAUUACUGGCCGACUUGUAUUUUCUUUUGUCUUUUUCCUAUCUGGCUCCAUCCAGCACCAUUCCGGCUCUAGUAAUGAACAGUCUUGCGUUCCGCUUCCUGAGUAUCUGUCCUGAGGAAAAGCCACCGUAAGGCGGUUUUUUAGCUAAUUUAGUCGUGUUUAUCAUACACUGUUAGAUGUUUAGAAGGUGGGGUUGAGUUUUGUACAGACAGUGCAGCUCAAUCAUUCCUUCAACAACUGUUUGACUACCUACCGUGUGCCAGAGAAGCUUCCGAAUUCCAAAUGCCACAGUGUGUUUUGGAUGGGGUUUUUUGGGGGGGGUCUCCCCAAAAUUCAUGUGAAAGCCUUACUGAAGUUUACACGGGACCCUCAGCAUGGCUGUAUUUGGAGUAAGGAAGUCAAUCGGGUUAAAUGAGGUCACGGGGAUGGGGCCCCGAUGCAGUGGGAUUAGUGUCCUCACCGGAAGGGAGCUCACCCCCCUCGCCCUUCUCCGUGGGGACACGAUGAGAAGGCGACGUCCGCAAACCGAGAAGAGAGCUCUUACCAGAAGCUGAAUCAGCUGGCCCCUCGACCUUGGACUUCUCAACCUCCAGAACUGAGGAGAUAAAUCUCUGUUGUUCAAGCGCCCAGUGGUGUUUUGUUUUGGCAGAUCGGCACAACAAGACCCCUCCCCCCCACCCCUCGCCAGACACCCUUUGCAGUUCAAGUGUUUUAUCGAAGCAGUUAGGUUAGCUGCUCAGGACAGCCUUGGCCUUGGAGGUGAUGCCACAGGUCUUAGAUUCAGAAAUUCAAUUUUCAAGUAUGUCAAUUCAGUUUUAACAAUAUAGCCAAGGACUAGUAAGAAUAGGAAAAAGCAGUCUGUUCCAAGCAACUCAAAGGUUGUUUAUAAGCCAGAAAUACAAUAAGUUCAUUGACAA